GCGAGCAAGAGCCCACGUCCGCUCUAGGCUUAGCAAGGAGGCAAAGAAGGCUGAGGUUCCAACUGCCCCUAAGACUCACCUAGACCUGUGUGGCAGCUCCUUCCCAGGGAGACCCAUGGCGAAGUGAGCCCCUCGGGUAACCUGUGCUCCCGACCCCGCUCCUGCGCUGGCUCGAAGUCCUUCCCGUUUCCCCUCAUCCCACCGCCAUUUACAUGCAGGCAGUGGGAACCUCACAUCAGCUCCUAAACCUGGCCCUGAGCUGAAUCCUCUACGAAACGUCAGAAAAAGUGUGGCACUUCACAGAGCUGUCCGGAGAUGUUUGCCUGGGAGACCAAUGAAUGACGAGACUGCUGGUGGCCUGGGAAUCCUCCUUCUCAAUACCAAAAGCUGUUCCCAGAGCCAGCUUGGCUGGAGGAGGAAGGAGACACUGAGUCCCAUGGUAACAGAGAAAAGCAAAUGCCCAGCACAAGAGAAAUGCAAGCUGGAUUCUGGGAAAUGAUCCCAGGCCUGUCUGCAUCAGCCAAGGUGGGCCUCCAAUCCCAGGGGAGCCACAUCCAAAUCCUUUCUUCUCCCUCACUCUCCCUGUCAGGGGAAAGACAGCAGGGUGUAAAGAAAAGGGUUGGGACCUGAGUCGCAGAGGUGGAGUCUGUAGUCCAUGAAGUGAGGAGCGAAUUCCACUGUGCUCUGUAAAUGGGGGGGGGGGGGGGGUCCCUCUCGUUUAACUUCCCCAAACUGCCUUUCAUUUUUUACCUCUUGGGCACCAACAGCCCAGAGAAGAUGAAGAAAAAACAUUCAAGGAAGAAUGGUCUUGGGGCACCUGGCUGGAUUUAUCAGUGGAGCAUGCAAUUCUUGGUCUCGGGGUUGUGAGUUUGAGCCCCAUGUUGGGUGUAGAGAUCACUUAAAAAUAAAAUCUUAAAAAGAAAA